GACGUGGGAGCUGUAGGACAGGGCCUGAGCUGCCCGCGGCCGGCCGUACGGGGGCUUGGGAGGGACCCGGACCAGAGGGACACGGGGCCCGAGGCCCCUGAGCACAUUUGUCAGACGCGGGUGAGGCGCGUCUGCGCGGGAGAAGGUGGCUGGUCCUGGCUGACACCUGAGCGGGGGACAGACCCUUACGAAGAGCAGACAAAGAAAUGAAAACUCCAGGACGGCGGGCAUCCUUGUGUGCUGUCCUCUGAUCCAGCGGGUGCCCAGAGCAGACCUGGUCCUCCAGUGGCCCUUCAGUAGGUUGAGAAGUCGGAACAACUGUGGCUGUUUUACUCUUGCGGUUUAGUGUCUGUACACAGGGUUGUGGCAUCAGAGGUCCCACCACUAUGCGUCUGUGGUCAGGUGACUUAAUCCCUUCAAGUUUACAUUUCUUCAUCUUUAAACUGGGAAUAAGAAGAGGUUUCAUCUCAUAAGGCUGUUGGUGAUAUUGCAGAGAAUGUGUGCGUUCCACUGAGCAGAACACUUGACAAACAGCGACUACCGUUUAACUGACCUGAAUUGAGGAUCAAGAGGCUCUUCCCAGUUUCUAUUUCUUAAAUUAAUUUUGUUCUCUUUGCGUCACUUUCAACUUUGAACCACACCAUGCUGUAGACUGUGCUUUAGUCAAAAGAAAUGAGAAACUUGUCAAUACUAUUGACUAGAGAUGUUCUGAGGACAAAAUAAAACUUAAACUCACAAAGAGCCCAGCACUGCAUUUUAAGUGAGUGAUGGCCGAGAACAGUGCGAGGGUAUAUCCCACAAAAUGCUCUGGACCUGCAGGGAGAGGUCACGGAAAGCCCCUUCUCCCCAUUCAGGCUCAGAGGGAAGGAUGUUACUGACUUACUAACAUUGGACACUGCUCAGAAAGCCCAGGAGAGAAGACGGUUCUGAGAGGCCAGACGGAUUAGCGCCCCACCUGUACUUGACGGGGAGCUAGGCAGGUUAGGAAGGGGGGCUGCUGGCUUUUAGGAUGGAGCAUCUGGUCUUGGUGAAGCACAGAACAGCAUUGGUUUUCCAAAAAACAGUGAUCUAGAGUAUUGCUUUUCAAUUCUUGUAUUCUCUUAAAGAAUUUGGAAAACAGGUCUAUCACACUUUUGUUGUUGCAAAGAAUGUUUUGGUAUCUUGUACAUUCGGUAUACUCUUUAAGUAUACUUUUUUAGUUUUAUUGAGGCAAAUUGCCAAAGAGUUCCACAUAUUUGAAAUGUGCAAUUUAAUCGAUUUUGACACAUGUUAUCUACAUCUAUGAGUUCAGCAACACCGUGAAGAUAAUGAACAAAUCAACCUCUCCCCACCCCAAGGAGCUCUUUCUUAUGGAAAGGAUGAAAGUAAUGCUCUUUCCAGCUUUCUGCAUCAGAAGUGGAAAUUGAAACAUCUGUUAAAACUCUUUUUGUGGGCAUGAGUGUGUGCCCUGCAAACCUACUGUGGGGAGUGUCAUUGAACAAGGGAGCCGGAUGCUGCCAUUUAAGACCAUCACUGCAUUUGUACCCAGCCACACGGCCCACAGUGUACCCAGAUAUUUGGUCAAACAUUAUUCUGGGUGUGUCUUUGAGGGUGUUUCCGGGUGAGAUUAGCAUCUGUGAUAGGUAGACUACGUAAAGCAAAUGGCUCUCCCAGACAGGGCGUCCUCACCUGAUGGGUUUAAGGCCUAAAUAGACAAAAAGGCUGAGUAAGAGGGAGCUCCUGCCUGAUUUACAAAAGCAACGAUCUUGUCCAUUGUUUGCCUUUAAGCUGUUUUUCUCCUGUCUUUGGAUUCAUACUGAAACAUUGGCUGUAUGUGGAUCUCAACCCUGCCAGCCUUAGGGCCAAAGUACACCGCCAGCUUUCUAACUGCAGAUUGCCAGCUUGCCAACCGCCUGUCUGGGAACUUGUCAGCAUUCAUAAUCACAUGAGCCAUCUUAAAAUAAAUUUAUGUAAGACAUAUAUUUACAUAAAUAAAUACAAAUAAAUUAUGUAUAUGAUA